rnacentral:rRNA from 1 species
AAGUGUGGCCGUAUCACCUUGGCAAAGCCUGAUCUGGUCUGAUCUCAAAAGCUAAGCGGGAUUGGACCUGGUUAGCACUUGGAUUGAGAGCGCUGCAGUGGCUCUAGUGCACACUGC